GAAGCGGCAACAGCUCAAAUUUGAAAUCUGACCCUUUAAGGGUCCGAGUUGUAAUUUGCAGAGGGUGUUUCGGGCACGGUGCCGGUUUAAGUCCUUUGGAACAGGGCGUCAUAGAGGGUGAGAACCCCGUAUGUGACCGGUCGCCAAACCCAUGUGAAACCCCUUCGACGAGUCGAGUUGUUUGGGAAUGCAGCUCAAAAUGGGUGGUAAAUUUCAUCUAAAGCUAAAUAUUGGCCAGAGACCGAUAGCGCACAAGUAGAGUGAUCGAAAGAUGAAAAGCACUUUGGAAAGAGAGUCAAACAGCACGUGAAAUUGUUGAAAGGGAAGCGCUUGCGACCAGACCUGCUCGCGGGUGAUCAGCGGUGCUUUUCGCGCCGUGCACUCAUCCGCGAUCAGGCCAGCAUCGGUUCAGGCGGCCGGAUAAAGACUCGGAGAAUGUAGCUCCCUCCGGGGAGUGUUUUCUAGCUCCUUGUGCAAUAGGGCCAGCCGGGACCGAGGACCGCGCU
rnacentral:rRNA from 1 species